rfam:Oryza nivara chromosome 7, whole genome shotgun sequence.
AAUAAGUAUAAUUAUAUACUGUCUAUAUCCAACGUUUAACGAUUCGUUUUAUUUAAAAAAAUUAUGAUUAGUAUUUUUUAUUGUUAUUAGAUGAUAAAAUAUAAAUAGUUCUUUAUGUGUGACUUUUUUAUUUUUUUAUAAUUUUUUUAAAUAAGACGAACGGUUAAAUAUUGGACAAGAUGCACUUAUU